UACGGAGGGUGCGAGCGUUAAUCGGAAUGACUGGGCGUAAAGCGCGCGUAGGCGGUUUGAUGAGUCCGAUGUGAAAGCCCUGGGCUUAACCUGGGAACGGCAUGGGAUACUGUUGAACUCGAGUGUGGGAGAGGGGCGUGGAAUUUCCGGUGUAGCAGUGAAAUGCGUAGAGAUCGGAAGGAACACCAGUGGCGAAGGCGGCGCCCUGGACCAACACUGACGCUGAGGCGCGAAAGCGUGGGGAG
rnacentral:rRNA from 1 species